CCUACGGGAGGCAGCAGUAGGGAAUAUUGCACAAUGGGGGAAACCCUGAAGCAGCAACGCCGCGUGGGGGAAGAAGUAUUUAGGAUUGUAAAGCCCUAUCGUCAGGGAAGAUUAUGACGGUACCUGACCAAGAAGCACCGGCUAACUACAUGCCAGCAGCCGCGGUAAUACGGAGGGGGCAAGCGUUAUCCGGAUUUACUGGGCGUAAAGGGUGCGCAGACGGGAUAGUAAGUCUGAAGUGAAAUCCUGUGGCUCAACUACGGAACUGCUGUGGAAACUGUGCGGCUAGAGUAUUGGAGGGGCAGGUGGAAUUCUUAGUGUAGCGGUGAAAUGCGUAGAUAUUAAGAGGAAUACUAGUGGCGAAGGCGGCCUGCUGGACAGUAACUGACGCUGAGGCUCGAAAGCGUGGGGAGCAAACAGGAUUAGAUACCCUAGUAGUC
rnacentral:rRNA from 1 species